CGAAGUGUAGCUUAAACAAAGCAUCUCGCUUACACCGAAAAAAUACCCGUGAAACCCGGAUCCCUUCGA
rnacentral:tRNA from 1 species